UGGGUUCACAUUUCCUUUAUUUGAUUAAAAAAAAAGAGGAAAAUAUUCUUUACAAAAACAGCAGAAAAUGUGGGGAAUCUGCAGGCCCAUAGCCGAGUGGGUGGAGCUAGAGCUGGGGGGCGGAGCUGGAGCCGAGUGGGUGGAGCAAGAUAUGGAUGGGCGGGGUUGUGUGGGUGGAGCCAGAUAUGGUGGGCGGGGCUGGAUCAUAGUGGGCGGGGCUGGAUCUGAGUGGGUGGAGCGGAGUGAAAACGGCAGAAGAAAAGAAAAGAUACAUGCACAGCCUCAACCAAUCAGCAAGCAGAACCACCAUAGCAGUAACUUUUUAGUGUUACCUAUUAGUGCCAUCUAACGUCAGAAUCCACCAUCGCAGUAACACUCUGUGGACUACACCUCCCAGAAUCCACCAUCGCAGUAACACUCUGUGGACUACACCUCCCAGAAUCCACCAUCGCAGUAACACUCUGUGGACUACACCUCCCAGAAUCCACCAUGGCAGUAACACUCUAUUGGACUACACCUCUCAGAAUCCACCAUGGCAGUAACACUCUAUUGGACUACACCUCCCAGAAUCCACCAUCGCAGUAACACACUAUUAGUGCCAUCUAACGCCAGAAAACCUCCAUGGCCACUGACCUUAACCAGUCGACUGUAGGGGGUCAUUAGGUACCAUGACCAUCAAUCAAUGAAUUUGUUUACUAAUUAAUGGUUUUGUUCAAUUUACUUUUGAAAAUACUUAUCGCUCUGUAAAGCGCCUAGAGACAAUUGUAUUGUUAUGGCGCUAUAUAAAUAAAAUUGAAUUGAAUUAUCGUAAAUAUUCUUCGAAGGUCACAACUGUAACCCUGCGUUCAAGUCUAAAAAAAGUGAUUAAGGAGUUGAGGUGAAAUUAAUAUGAGUUGACGUGGCACAUGGUGCGGUGUAGACCAAUGGAUGCCGUGGAGCUCCUGUCCCUAUAACACCAGGGGCAGCUGACUGAUAUCUCCUGGGGAGGUGACUGAUAUCUCCUGGGCAGGUAACUGAUAUCUCCUACAACCCCAGGGGCAGCUGACUGAUAUCUCCUGGGGAGGUGACUGAUAUCUUCUACAACACCAGAGCAGGUGACUGAUAUCUCCUGUGCUACAACGCCUGGGGCAGGUGACUGAUAUCUCCUGUGCCUACAUCACCAGGGAGGUGACUGAUAUCUCCUGGGACAGGUGACUGAUAUCUCCUGUGCUACAACGCCUGGGGCAGGUCACUGAUAUCUCCUGUGCCUACAUCACCAGGGAGGUGACUGAUAUCUCCUGGGACAGGUGACUGAUAUCUCCUGGGGCAGGUGACUGAUAUCUCCUACAACCCCAGAGCAGGUGACUGAUAUCUCCUGGGGCAGGUGACUGAUAUGUCCUGGGGCAGGUGACUGAUAUCUCCUGUGCCUACAACACCAGGGGAGGUGACUGAUAUCUCCUGGGGCAGGUGACUGAUAUCUCCUGUGCCUACAACACCAGGGGAGGUGACUGAUAUCUCCUGGGGCAGCUGACUGAUAUCUUGUGAUUUUACGUCAUCGCAUACGGUGUGUCCUUCCCAAAGCGCACUCUGGCCACCCCCCCAGGUACACCUUGUGGCUAAUUUGCUCGUAAUGACGGCCUCUCUGUAAAUACGCUCCAUAGCGGCGGCCCCCAGAACGCCCAGGAGGACCCCUGUCUUCAGCACACACACACACACACACCACACACACACACACACACACCACCCACACACACACACACACACACACACACCACACACACACACACACACCACACACACACACACACACACACACACAC
ensembl:lncRNA